UACGUAGGGUGCAAGCGUUGUCCGGAAUUACUGGGCGUAAAGAGCUCGUAGGUGGUUUGUCGCGUUGUUCGUGAAAACUCACAGCUCAACUGUGGGCGUGCGGGCGAUACGGGCAGACUUGAGUACUGCAGGGGAGACUGGAAUUCCUGGUGUAGCGGUGGAAUGCGCAGAUAUCAGGAGGAACACCGGUGGCGAAGGCGGGUCUCUGGGGCAGUAACUGACGCUGAGGAGCGAAAGCGUGGGGAGCGAACAGG
rnacentral:rRNA from 1 species